UUCUCAAUCUUUUUUUUUCAGAGAGAGAUAGGUAACAUGCUACCCGUUUCGUUUAUUUAAUUUAGAAAUAAACUUAGCUAGAAAUGUGAAUCAAUUAGGAUUCGAAUUUGGAAUCUCGGGUACCAAUCACCAAGCCCUUUGCCAAUUGCGCUAGGGACGGUCGGUGGUCUAUUCUCAGUCUUUGACAAUGUAUAUUUUUGGGUAUGAAUAUUACUCUGAUGGUCUAAGCCACCGUUUGGUUCGGGGUUAAGAAAAAGUAGCUAUUACAGGAAUAGGGUUAAGUUCAGGAUUAAAAUGGUGUUAAAAUUUUUUUGUGUUUAAUUGGAGGUUGGAGUUAGUCUAGAAUAGUGAAAAAAAAUGUUUGGUUGGAAUAGGUGGGAUAAGAAGAUAAUGAUUGAUAAAGAAGAAAAAGGUGAGGGCUCGGAAUGCGUGCGGAGUUAAAAUUGGGAGGGGGAGUGGGGUUAAUGAUUGAUAAAGAAGAAAAAUGUGAGGGCUCGGAAUGCGUGUGGGGUUAAAGUUGGGAGGAGGAGUGGGGUUAGUAAACCCCACUAACCCGAUUUGGGGUGGGGUUUACUAACCCCACCCCUUAAAUUGGGGGUUAAGGAGUUAUUCCAUCCCUUAACCCCCAACCAAACGGUGGCUAAGAGUCCCCAAAAAAAAAAAGAAAAAAAAGAGAUAA
rnacentral:lncRNA from 1 species